rnacentral:lncRNA from 1 species
UUUUUUCCUCCCUUCCUCCCCUCUGCCUCCCUCCACCUCCCCCUUUUCUUUUUUGCUGAAUCUUAUUGAUCCAGAAGGUGGCUAAUUAGCCCUUCCCGUCGUGCCUGGCUCCCACUUCCAGCGCGUCCCCUCCGACCGCUGCAGCCGCCACCGCCGCCGCCUCCUCCUCCUCCUCCUCCCGGCCGCAGCCGCCGCCGCCGCCUGCUUUGCAUCCCAAUUACAGCCUAGAGCCGCUGCCGC